CCUACGGGUGGCAGCAGUGGGGAAUAUUGCACAAUGGGGGAAACCCUGAUGCAGCGACGCCGCGUGAGUGAGGAAGUCUUUCGGUAUGUAAAGCUCUAUCAGCAGGGAAGAAAAUGACGGUACCUGACUAAGCCCCCCCGGCUAACUACGUUCCAGCAGCCGCGGUCAUACGUAGGGGGCAAGCGUUAUCCGGAUUGACUGGGUGUAAGGGGAGCGUAGACGGAAUAGCAAGUCUGAUGUGAAAACUCGGGGCUCAACUCCGGGAGUGCAGUGGAAACCGUUGGUCUAGAGUGUGGGAGAGGCAGGCGGAAUUCCUGGUGUAGCGGUGAAAUGCGUAGAUAUUAGGAAGAACACCAGUGGCGAAGGCGGCUUGCUGGACGAUGACUGACGUUGAGGCUCGAAAGCGUGGGGAGCAAACAGGAUUAGAUACCCGAGUAGUC
rnacentral:rRNA from 1 species